ACCGUUUAUCAUUCUAAUGUCUCAACAUACGGUAACCUUAAUAAUGGUUAAGCAGUUGAAUCAUAGCGUGGUGGGAAUGUUCCGAUUAACGGUUAUGACUGACUGAUGAUGGGUCUGUUCUUCUGUUCUCCAGGUGAACCGCGAGGUCACGAACACUUUUCGAAGUAAAACGGACCACAAGAUCUGGAGCAGUUGUGAACCGCGAGGUCACGAACACUUUUCGAAGUAAAACGGACCGCAAGAUCUGGAGCAGCUGUCAAGAAGAAUAAACAGAUUCAGUGAGUAUCCCAAUUGAACCAUGAAGAAGAAACUGCGAACUGUAAGUCCAGAUUUUUCUUUUUUUGGGCAUCAUUUUGGCCUCCUGUUUGGUCUGGUUGGUCAGGAUCGAUGGGUGAAGAUUGAUAUAGUUAAAAGUAGUGCAGUAUAGGUUCUAAAUGAAUGGUGUACGACUAGAUGGAUCUCUGGGUAAAGCUAUAAACAUACUCCAGGGUUGUGUUCAGACUUUCUUCUGCCCACUUCGCCACUACUUCCCUGAACCUUGCAUCACUUUACGUGUGUGUUGUCUUACUGAUGGCGGUCUGGUCUGAGCGAUCAGAGAUGCAUGCUAGGGUACUGUGCUGUCUGAAGUCUACAGUUCUGUCGACGUGCCCUCUCAGGGGAAACCAAGUGUUUAAGAGGCCGUCGUCACGUCGGUUACGUGAAGGGGAAUGUCUAUCAAGAUGGGGACGGGACUCCCCGGAGGAGAAACGCAUGGGGCAAGAUGUGAGGGCUCCUCCUCUCAGCAACUAGAACACAACCUGGUUCCUGCACCGGAGAACCAUGGAGCACAUUUCAACGUUCUCCUCCAUACAUCUUGAAGCCAUAGCGACGGUUUCUCUACCUCCACAGCUGGAGGAGAGCACAAUCGCAGCUCAGAAUGGGUCCAUGUUGGGGUCUUUCCAGGUUGUUUUCUGAUUUGAGGGGACCCAUCUUCCAGGCCCAGCUGGCCUCGCCCAUUACUCUGCAGUACAGCCCUGAGAAAGACUUGCAUCUGAGCCAGCAGAGGGCUCAUCGGCCUGCUGCUCGGAUGGGAUGAAGAGGAUCCUGCUGUUCAAGACCCACCACCCCUCCACUGGGUGGGCCUUCUCAACAGACCACCUACCUCACCCCCCUUCCAUCAAAUCCUGUCCCCGUCCUCGGGCUCAUUAAGCGGCAAGAUUUGAAUCUGAGCAUCACAGUGGACAGUACUGAACAAUGUUCAACGAUGAGAAUGAUAACGGGUACGGCUUGGCUCAGAGGUAGUGAAGAAGGACACCUAACCCGAACUGUGUUGAAUGCCAAAUGUCCUAAAUGUAAAUAAUAGUUUGUCUAUACUGCUUGUUAAUAAAUUCUUAAAUUUGUAUUUCUUUCACACAUGUGUGCGCCUGGUCAGAGUUCGACCAUGCAUGGGGUUUAUAUGUCAGAUUUUAACAUGCUAAUGGUUCUUUGUGUGAGUGGUCAGCUUUUAGCCUGGCAAAUGGUUCGUGUGAGUGGUCAGCUUUUAGCCUGGCAAAUGGUUCAUGUGAGUGGUCAGCUUUUAACCUGGCAAAUGGUUCUUUGUGUGAGUGGUCAGCUUUUAACCUGGCAAAUGGUUCUUUGUGUGAUUUGUCAUCUUUUAAUUUGGCAAAUGGUUCUUCGUGUGAGUGGUCAGCUUUUAACCUGGCAAAUGGUUUGUGUGAGUGGUCAGCUUUUAACCUGGCAAAUGGUUUGUGUGAGUGGUCAGCUUUUAACCUGGCAAAUGGUUUGUGUGAGUGGUCAGCUUUUAACCUGGCAAAUGGUUUGUGUGAGUGGUCAGCUUUUAACCUGGCAAAUGGUUCUUUGUGUGAGUGGUCAGCUUUUAACCUGGCAAAUGGUUCUUUGUGUGAGUGGUCAGCUUUUAACCUGGCAAAUGGUUCUUUGUGUGAGUGGUCAGCUUUUAACCUGGCAAAUGGUUCUUUGUGUGAGUGGUCAGCUUUUAACCUGGCAAAUGGUUCUUUGUGUGAGUGGUCAGCUUUUAACCUGGCAAAUGGUUCUUUGUGUGAGUGGUCAGCAUUUAACCUGGCAAAUGGUUUGUGUGAGUGGUCAGCUUUUAAUCUGGCAAAUGGUUUGUUUGAGUGGUCAGCUUUUAACCUGGCAAAUGGUUCUUUGUGUGAGCUUGGUCAGCUUUUAACCUGGCAAAUGGUUCAUGUGAGCCUGGUCAGCUUUUAACCGGCAUGGGGUUCUACAUGUGUGAGCGUGGCCAGGGUUCUGGUCCCCUCAAGAAACUGUUGCUUUAGGUGUAGGCCCAUUAUAUGUUUUGACUUUUCAGCUACGUUUCUGGAUGAGUUCAGCCCGACCAAAUCACCACGGAAACAAAUUGAGUGGUACAGACACUGACUGAUUAAUGCCAACCGGCUCAGAUCGUCACGACAAACAAGGUCUACGAUGGGAAGGAGCAAUGGAUGCCUGAAACAAUGGAUGAUGGCCUCCGGAUGGACAGAAGUUUGGAAAUGUACCAAAAGAUCUUUGGAAAUGGUUACUUAAGCAUGAGAGUCGGCGACGUGGCUGCCCUUCCUAACCCCGGAGGACGAUGGCUGGCGGGCCCUGUGGAGCAAGACUUCUGUGCUGUGAUGAAAGCCUAGCUCAGGCCGAGGUAUAAUUUAUAGGUCCACUUGAUUCAGAAACCAACCUUGGAAACAUCCCAACCAUGGUCCUCUUCAAGCUGCAGUUAUGCUGUUCUCCAGAGGAGGAGGUAAAGAAACCCUCACUGGGGCUUCAAGAUGCAUGAAGAGGAACAUUGAAAUCUGCUCCAUGGUUCUCUCAAGUAGGAGCUAGGUUGUAUUCUACUCGCUAACUGUUGGAGCCCUCCCAUCCUACCCUUGGUGUCUCUCUUUGGGGAGUCCCUGUCACGGUCCUGAAGGAUGUUCCAGUUUGUGUAACUGAUGUUACGACAGCCUUUGAACACUUGGUUUCUUCUGAGGGGGUACAUCUACAGAACUGUGGUCUUCAGACGGCAUAUUAUCCUACCAUGCAUCUCUGGUCACCAAGACCACACCCAGAUCAGUAAGGCAACAAUCAUGCAAUGUGAAUGCAACGUUUGGAGAGUAGCAAGGAAGUGGACAAAAGGUGUAAGAGCAUCUCAAGUCUGUAGCUCUGUUAAGGGGAGGGGAGAUUAAUGGUUUAUUUUAGCACGUUGUUUCUCUAAAAAAUACACUUUAUACCUGUAAAUAUCUAGAUAAUUUACAAAAGUGGUCUGCGAUAAGGGAUGUCAGUUAAAGAUAUUCGGGUUAACUGUGGUUACCAAACAUGAUGGUUAGGCGUACAGUUCUAAGCCUUGUUUAUUGUUGGAUGGGGGGAACUGUGUAGUUAAAAUUACUAGUUCUGUACAUAAACCAACAGCAACAAACUACUAGAUCGACUCAAGGUAAGUCUGUUGGCUGUAUUGUGAGAUGAGACGAUGGACCCCAAGUUCUUCAUCCUCGUUCAGCUCAAGGUGAGGUGCUGGUUACGUUACUUAUUGCUGGUUAGGUUUGCAGUGGAGUGUUGGUAUUCCAGUUGGAAUAUCAUUCAUCACUAAUGAGUUUACACUAUUGGGUCAUCUGGCAGUACGAGUAGGAUUGGCAUUUGCGUGACCUCAUCACUAACGAGGGUACCCUAUUGGGUCAUCUGGCAGUACGAGUAGGAUUGGCAUUUGCGUAACCUCAUCACUAACGAGGGUACCCUAUUGGGUCAUCUGGCAGUACGAUCAGGAUUGGCAUUUGCGUAACCUCAUCACUAAUGUGUUUACACGAUUUCUAUCUAACCAUCUGGCAAAUUUGUCUUGUGCUUUAGGUAAGACAUAAUUCUAAAACAUAACAUUAGUUGCUGAAUUGUUGUGCGUUUAUCUCCAAAUUUUACCUGCGACUUGGCUAACUGCGCUGUACUUAAGUCAACUGACUCUCACUGCGUACCGAACUCCAUUCUUGCGCGCACAUUUUUGAGUCGCGAAUAAGAUCGGAGAGAAUUUGGCAUUUUCAUACUACGGAGUACGAUCGUCCCAGCAGCUGAAUAUGGCAAGGUAUAAUUUUACUAUUAAAUUAACUAUUGAUACUGCUAGUGAGGUAAAUAUCUGGGCUGUAAGUUUCAGUUAAACUCUACCAAAAUGCAUGGAAUUACUUUUUUAUUAUUUUUUUGUGGUGAAUAGUUAGGUAACCUUAUGAAAUUAAUCAUUAGCUAAAAUCAUGGAACCAUGUCCCACAUGCUUAUACAGUAAUAUGGACUAAAUAACUGUACAGAGCUGUAACUGUAGCUUGUGUCCCCAGGUGUCUGCCUCCACACCUCCCUGCUGUCACCACUGGUCUAAGAAGUUCAUAACGGUUAGUGUGGGAGGCGCAGCUCCAGUACUUGCUUUCUUGAACCUGUGAUGCACAAGAUGUUGAUCCAACCGCACAGUGAGCUCUGCAGGGUGGUCAGGACGGCUGUAGACGUGGAGGACGGGGCGGGGAGCCAGGCUCACCAGUGAUCUCCUGGGCGAGGCGUGUGGCGCCAGGAGGGACCGAGGCUGACCACCAAGCUGCUCUGAAACGCCCAAGGCCAGGACCCGUGGUGGAGGGCAGCUAGUGGGGAGCAGUGCUGGAGGACCUGCUGGGAAGGACAUCCCUCGUUGGGGUAAAGACACCCGUCUCUGAGAUGUGAAGGCUGCAGAGGACCCACCAGGAUCCCCUUGGAGGACAACCAUUGGACUACGUGAGGUCUUUGGAAGCACUACAGUUCAGAAUGCCUUCCAAAGAAUGAAGCCCACCCCCCAUGGCUCAGCUAGUGGCGUUCACCGGACCAGGAACCCAGAGACCUGAAGGAGGAGCCGUGCAUCUGGAGGAACACCAUGAGGCUACCCGCCAAGUAUUACUCACUUCCACGAGGAGGGGGGCUGACGGCUGGAGGACCUCCCUACUGGUGGGGCGAGUGACACCCGACUCUACAGGGAUGACCACGGAGGAGAGAGAGCUGAAGCCGUGCAUCCUGAAGGGGAAUCAGGUACUGAUGUGACAGUGAUCCAUGUCAUCUAUUUCUGCAAGGCGCGGUUGAAGAGCUGUGUUCAGUCUGGGAAGGACACACCUGAGCUGUUUCACCCUGAGCUGCUUCACACCUGCAUCUCCAAACAGCUGAAGCCCUUCAGUGACCAACAAACGGUGCCUCAUCACAGCUUAUCAUCGCUGGCCUGUGGAUCUGCUACACUCACACAACGUGACUUUGUCACCAUCUGCUGCACGUUGGGAUGCUAACGUGUUCCACCAGGGGUUCCUUCCUUCCCGCAGUGGGAGUGUUCCUUGUCCUUCAAGGAGUUAGGGUUCAGUGUUAGGGACAGAGUUAGGGAGAGAUGGUUGAGUCCUGGCUGGUUUACGAUGAACUGCUCUAACGCUUUGGCAAAAUGUUUCAAUGUGCAAACACUCACAAACGCAUACAAUGUAUAAUAAGUGUUUAUGAAAUAAAUUCUGUUAUAAUUCUG